rnacentral:rRNA from 1 species
CUCGUAGGCGGCUGGUCGCGUCUGUCGUGAAAUCCUCUGGCUUAACUGGGGGCGUGCGGUGGGUACGGGCCGGCUUGAGUGCGGUAGGGGAGGCUGGAAUUCCUGGUGUAGCGGUGGAAUGCGCAGAUAUCAGGAGGAACACCGGUGGCGAAGGCGGGUCUCUGGGCCGUGUACUGACGCUGAGGAGCGAAAGCGUGGGGAGCGAACA